AUUUCUCAAAAGGCCAGAACGUACAUCCUUUCGGUCUUAUCCCACCCGACGCCUGAACCGCUGGACAGGUUGGCUUCACCAAAGAGCACAGGAUCCAGUCAUGUGGAUAGCACCUUGUGGUUCGUGGGCUAAAGCAGAAGAUUUUGGCCAUCAUGAACCGCUACGGAUGUAGCUUACCGAAUAAGGCACCACCGCACAACUGUUGACUGCAACGGUCGAGGAGCGUCUGGCCGUCGUGGAUUAAUGAAGGUUAGCUAUUAAAGAUCUCGCAAGUGACAAGUGUCAUGAGUGCAUGGUAAUUUUGU